rnacentral:misc_RNA from 1 species
GGUCUAGGCGCCUUUCGCAGACGCCGACUCGCGGCGAGCCGCAAGCUCGAGAAGGCUGUCGCCCGGCUCGAGAGGAGCCGCCAGGCCGAACUCGAGCUCUCGUCGCAGCUACGGAGGAUAGAGGCGGAGGCCGUAGCUGCCCGCGAGUACCGGGAGCUCGAAACCCGCUACCGCGAGCUCUCUUUGGCUUACCUCUACGGAAUCGCGAAAGGAGACCUCGGCGGCGAACGAGAACGCCUAAAGGAGCUUGAAGAAGUGGCGAGCAAGCUGCGGGCGAGGCAGGACGCUUUGCGCGAUGAAGAGAAGCAGCUCAGGGCGGAAGAGAAGGAGCUCGAAGGCCG